GGCGAACGCUGGCGGCGUGCCUAAUACAUGCAAGUUGAGCGCUGAAGGUUGGUACUUGUACCUCCUGGAUGAGCAGCGAACGGGUGAGUAACGCGUGGGUAAUCUGCCUUUGAGCGGGGGACAACAUUUGGAAACGAAUGCUAAUACCGCAUAAAAACUUUAAACACAAGUUUUAAGUUUGAAAGAUGCAAUUGCAUCACUCAAAGAUGAUCCCGCGUUGUAUUAGCUAGUUGGUGAGGUAAAGGCUCUACAAGGCGAUGAUACAUAGCCGACCUGAGAGGGGGAUCGGGCACAUUGGGACUGGGAAACGGCCCAAACCCCUAAGGGAAGGAGCAGUAGGGAAACUUCGGGAAUGGACGAAAGGCUGAACGAGCAACGCCGCGUGAGGGAAGAAGGUUUUCGGAUCGGAAAACUCUGGUGGUAGAGAAGAAAGAUGGGGAGAGUGGAAAGCGCAUCAAGUGACGGUAACUACCCAGAAAGGGACGGCUAACUACGUG
rnacentral:rRNA from 1 species